rnacentral:rRNA from 1 species
UACGGAGGAUGCAAGCGUUAUCCGGAAUGAUUGGGCGUAAAGCGUCCGCAGGUGGCGAUGAAAGUCUGCUGUUAAAGAGCAAGGCUCAACCUUGUAAAGGCAGUGGAAACUACAUGGCUAGAGUGCGUUCGGGGCAGAGGGAAUUCCUGGUGUAGCGGUGAAAUGCGUAGAGAUCAGGAAGAACACCGGUGGCGAAAGCGCUCUGCUAGGCCGCAACUGACACUGAGGGACGAAAGCUAGGGGAGCGAAUGGG